CACGUAGGGUGCGAGCGUUGUCCGGAAUUAUUGGGCGUAAAGAGCUCGUAGGCGGUGUGUCGCGUCGGCCGUGAAAACCUGGGGCUUAACUCUGGGCGUGCGGUCGAUACGGGCAUCACUGGAGUUCGGCAGGGGAGACUGGAAUUCCUGGUGUAGCGGUGAAAUGCGCAGAUAUCAGGAGGAACACCGAUGGCGAAGGCAGCUCGCUGGGACGGUACUGACGCUGAGGCGCGAAAGCGUGGGGAGCAAACAGG
rnacentral:rRNA from 1 species